rfam:Erinaceus europaeus unplaced genomic scaffold scaffold00245, whole genome shotgun sequence
GCCCGGCUAGCUCAGUCAGUAGAGCAUGAGACUCUUAAUCUCAGGAUCGUGGGUUCGUGCCCCAUGUCGGGCG